rnacentral:rRNA from 1 species
CAUGCAAGUCCGACGUGAAAGGGGAGCAAUCCCCCGGUAGGGUGGCAAACGGGUGAGUAAGACAUGGGUGAUCUGCCCUGGAGAUGGGGAUAUCCCUCCGAAAGGGGGGGCAAUACCGAAUAGUAUCCGGUUCCGUGAAGGGGACCGGGGAAAGGGAGGCCUCUGGUACAAGCUUCCGCUCCUGGAUGAGCCCAUGGCCCAUCAGCUAGUUGGUAGGGUAAAGGCCUACCAAGGCAACGACGGGUAGCUGGUCUGAGAGGACAACCAGCCACACUGGCACUGAGACACGGGCCAGACUCCUACGGGAGGCAGCAGUGAGGAAUAUUGCGCAAUGGGGGCAACCCUGACGCAGCAACGCCGCGUGUGGGAAGAAGGCUUUCGGGUUGUAAACCACUUUUGCCCGGGACGAAAAGGGAUGUCAGAACACGGCAUUUCGAUGACGGUACCGGGAGAAUAAGCCACGGCUAACUCUGUGCCAGCAGCC